rnacentral:rRNA from 1 species
GUGGCAGCAGCCGCGGUAAUACGAAGGGACCUAGCGUAGUUCGGAAUUACUGGGCUUAAAGAGUUCGUAGGUGGUUAAAAAAGUUGGUGGUGAAAUCCCAGAGCUUAACUCUGGAACUGCCAUCAAAACUUUUUAGCUAGAGUAUGAUAGAGGAAAGCAGAAUUUCUAGUGUAGAGGUGAAAUUCGUAGAUAUUAGAAAGAAUACCAAUUGCGAAGGCAGCUUUCUGGAUCAUUACUGACACUGAGGAACGAAAGCAUGGGUAGCGAAGAGGAUUAGAUACCCUCGUAGUCCAUGCCGUAAACGAUGUGUGUUAGACGUUGGAAAUUUAUUUUCAGUGUCACAGUGAAAACAAUAAACACACCGCCUGGGGAGUACGACCGCAAGGUUAAAACUCAAAUGAAUUGACGGGGACCCGCACAAGUAGUGGAGCAUGUGGUUUAAUUCGAAGAUACGCGCAGAACCUUACCAACACUUGACAUGUUCGUCGCGACUCUAAGAGAUUAGAGUUUUCGGUUCGGCCGGACGAAACACAGGUGCUGCAUGGCUGUCGUCAGCUCGUGUCGUGAGAUGUUGGGUUAAGUCCCGCAACGAGCGCAACCCUUACUUUUAGUUGCCAUCAUUUAGUUGGGCACUCUGAAAGAACAGCCAGUGAUAAGCUGGAGGAAGGUGGGGAUGACGUCAAGUCCUCAUGGCCCUUACGUGUUGGGCUACACACGUGCUACAAUGGUAUCUACAACAGGAAGCAAGAUGGCAACAUUAAGCAAAUCCUAAAAAGAUACCUCAGUUCGGAUUGCACUCUGCAACUCGAGUGCAUGAAGCUGGAAUUACUAGUAAUCGCGGAUCAGCGUGCCGCGGUGAAUACGUUCCCGGGUCUUGCACACACCGCCCGUC